rnacentral:rRNA from 1 species
AGUGAACGCUGGCGGUAGGCCUAACACAUGCAAGUCGAACGGCAGCACAGUAAGAGCUUGCUCUUACGGGUGGCGAGUGGCGGACGGGUGAGGAAUACAUCGGAAUCUACUUUUUCGUGGGGGAUAACGUAGGGAAACUUACGCUAAUACCGCAUACGACCUACGGGUGAAAGCAGGGGAUCUUCGGACCUUGCGCGAUUGAAUGAGCCGAUGUCGGAUUAGCUAGUUGGCGGGGUAAAGGCCCACCAAGGCGGCGAUCCGUAGCUGGUCUGAGAGGAUGAUCAGCCACAUUGGAACUUGGACACGGUCCAGACUCCUACGGGAGGCAGCAGUGGGGAAUAUUGGACAAUGGGCGCAAGCCUGAUCCAGCCAUACCGCGUGGGUGAAGAAGGCCUUCGGGUUGUAAAGCCCUUUUGUUGGGAAAGAAAAGCAGCAGGUUAAUACCCCGCUGUUCUGACGGUACCCAAAGAAUAAGCACCGGCUAACUUCGUG